rnacentral:lncRNA from 1 species
AAGCAAUUUGCUCAUAGCCAUAGCUUUCUUGUGAAAGUAGGAUAUUAACCCAGGUGUCUUGGUGCUGGAGAACAGAACUGGCCAGAGUCCAUCCUGUCUCCCACCGGCAUCCCAUUACGAAAUGAACACAGAAAAGGCAGGUCUGCAAUGCCAACAUCUAGUAUCUAUCCCAAAGACCAGGGAGAAAGGAAGGAAAGAUUCUGGUUCUGUCCUCUUCCCCAAGGCAAGGCUGGCUGCCCUACCAACAGAGGCAAAGAGAAGAGUGUGCAAGGCUGGCUGCCCUCCCAACAGAGGCAAAGAGGAGUGUGUGUUGAAAUAUCCAUUGAAUCCCUGAGACAACUGGAUCCUGGCCCAUUGAAUCAUAAACUCAAAUCUCACAUCAUAACCCCAAAUGACCUGUUACUCACCAUGUGGCCCAGCUGUCUUCAAACUCACCAGCCUCCUGCCUUAGCCUUCUAAAUGCUUGGAUUACAGGCAUGACCCACCAUAACUGGCUUUGUUUUAGUUUCAGAGAAGAUGAAACUGAUGUGCGUCAAAAAGUAAACUACCCACAUUUUAACUGGGCACAUUCCUGUCAAUCUGAUGAGAAUCUAUUUCAUACCCUGCUUUAGCUGGUAGUCUGUCAAGGAAAUGAGCUGAACAUGUCUGUGUACAGCUUUUGUGCCAUCCCUGGAUGAGCGAGCUGUCUGCCUCUAUGUUCUCCACAAAAUGGAAUAUAGCUGUACACCCAAGCCAAGUUAUGGAGGCUGGGAAGACCUAGAAUGUGGCAUCACUAUUUGGUUAUUUAGAAAAUUGUUACCUCAAAAAUGACCUAGGGGUCCUUAGAAUAAUAACACACAGAAGAAUAGCCUCAUUUUUCUGUUGGGCCCAGGAAACCAUGCCGAUUACCGACCGAGCUCUCAAUGGAAAAAUGCAGUCGGCGUGAACCACGCACGAACACAGCAGAGAAAGAAGAAAACACACACCACGAGGAACCCUAAUAGGACAAUACAUUAUAAGUCACAGUGCUACGGAGAAACCCAGUAGCCACAUGGAAGCAGAGACCAUGCAUAUGCAUCUACUCCGCAGCUCUGUGAAUGUCAGCAGCUCCCACGGACUGGAGAUCCCGUGAGAUCCCGUGAGAUCUCACCCAUAGCCUCAUGGUACAUCCACUUGGUGUGCUGGGAGAGUCAGGAUGAGGACCUGAGAAGAACAGCAGCUUGAACCUGACUUCAUUUAACAGCCCACUGCCCUCUUGCCAAGAACCCAUCACAGACCUUCCCAGAAGAGAGGGAUGAGCCUCACCUAUGAAUAAGUCCUCAGAAACUCAAAUUUGAUUCUAAUGGAUUGUUUUCUCAGAAAGACUGAGCAUGUCCCCCCACAUCUCUGUCAUUUCCCACAGUAGUAACCUCUGCAGAUGCCACAUAGAAAACAAAACAAAACAAAAAAACAUGAGGUUGGUGGGCAGAUAGGCAGGGUAUAAACAAACAGCCUUGUAACCCAGAAGCUGUGUGAUAUACAGUAAACUUCACAACACUGAAAAGAUGUCCUAUCUGUUAAAAUGGGGUAAUAACAACUACCCGAAUGUUUAGGAAUAGAACUUCAAUAAAUGAUACAUUUUAUAGUACAGCAGACCAUCCUGUAAAGGUUUCAUCCUUCACUGUGGUGAUAAAUAUCCCAAACCACAUUGAAAAGCAUUGCAUCUACAUUUAUCUACACUGUAACUGUACUGUAAAUCAUGGGGGAGGGGAGAAUCAUAAAAACACCACCUGUCACCGUGUCAUUAAAGCAAGUUGGAAGUGAUACUUACAGAAACACAGCAAGAGCACCCCCAGUCACACAGUUCAAUCUCUUAGCAAGCGUUUUCUUUCUAGCCCAGUGGUUCUCAGUUUGGAAUUUUUGGCACUGCCUAGAGAUAGUUUUGUUGUUAAAACUGAGAAAAGAGCCGGGCGUGGUGGCACACGCCUUUAAUCCCAGCACUCAGGAGGCAGAGGCAGG